UUUCAUCGCCAGCGAGCGCCCGCUUCACACAACACACACACACCCACAUCUAUAAUAUCUCUAUAACCCGCUGUGUUUGUGAUGGGCCAGCGCGUUGUCGUUGCUG
rnacentral:pre_miRNA from 1 species